UUAUUAAAAUGCGAUUUUAUUAUAAAUGGGAAAAGGGGAAAAAGAACAAAGAAACCCUUGAAAGCACAAAAAAGCAGACUAAGGGCCGAGCCUCAUUAAAACCUUUUCAUGGAAAACCCCGUGGGAAAAACCAGAAAAGGAAAAAGAGUUCUCGUCAAAAGACAAAGACCACGACCAGAAGAGCGGAAAGGAAAGUUUCUGAAACUCCGGCCUAACCAUCGUCCCAAAACAAUCCCAGCUCAAAAAGUCACAACCGAAAUAAGAACACGCAAAGCAACAAAGAUGAUGGCCGGUGAGAGCCCGUCGCCGUCAUCCAAGAAAAAGAAAAAAUAGUUGACCUCAGUCGGUAAGACGCUGUAGUAAACCAACCGAGCAUCAACCACUCCAAUAGACCAAUCCAAAACAGCCCCAUGUAAUCAAUUCUUCAAACGAACGCGACUAUGAGUCGCCAUAUCUAAAGACACCGCAAUCUUUAUAUCCUCAAUAGCAAAGGGCCACCACCCUUCGAUCCGGGCAUGAUUAGCCAUAAUAUCCGCCACACUAUUUCCUUCUCUAAAAAUAUGCGAGAUCUGAAGUCGAAAAUUUGAAAGCCAAUUUAAAGU
rnacentral:lncRNA from 1 species